rnacentral:rRNA from 1 species
AACGGCGAGUGAAGCGGCAAGAGCUCAAAUUUGAAAUCUGGCCCCCUCCGGGGUCCGAGUUGUAAUUUGUAGAGGAUGCUUCGGGUGUGGCCGCCGUCUAAGUUCCUUGGAACAGGACGUCAGAGAGGGUGAGAAUCCCGUCUUGGGCGGCCGGUCCGCGCCCGUGUGAAGCUCCUUCGACGAGUCGAGUUGUUUGGGAAUGCAGCUCUAAGCGGGUGGUAAAUUUCAUCUAAAGCUAAAUACUGGUCGGAGACCGAUAGCGCACAAGUAGAGUGAUCGAAAGGUUAAAAGCACCUUGGAAAGGGAGUUAAACAGCACGUGAAAUUGUUGAAAGGGAAGCGCUUGCGGCCAGACUCGGGGGCGGGGUUCAGCGGGCGCUCGUCGCCCGUGCACUCCCCGUCUCCCGGGCCAGCAUCAGUUUCGACGGCCGGUCAAAGGCCCCCGGAAUGUGUCGUCUCUCGGGACGUCUUAUAGCCGGGGGUGCAAUGCGGCCCGUCGGGACUGAGGAACGCGCUCCGGCUCGGAUGCUGGCGUAAUGGCCGUAAGCGGCCCGUCUUGAAACACGGACCAAGGAGUCUAACAUCCACGCGAGUGUUCGGGUGUCAAACCCGUGCGCGCAGUGAAAGCGAACGGAGGUGGGAGCCUUAGGGCGCACCAUCGACCGAUCCUGAAGUCUUCGGAUGGAUUUGAGUAGGAGCGUGGCCGUUGGGACCCGAAAGAUGGUGAACUAUGCCUGAAUAGGGUGAAGCCAGAGGAAACUCUGGUGGAGGCUCGCAGCGGUUCUGACGUGCAAAUCGAUCGUCAAAUUU